rnacentral:lncRNA from 1 species
AGGGUGUGCCUGGGGGCACGCGGGCGUGGCGAGGCCCGCCAUGCGACCCGGCCGCGGCCUGAGGUGCAAGCACGGAGCAGAAGGGUGGCGCUCCCGAGGCCACGGCGUCCAUGAGCUCGGCAACGCGCUCCAGCAACGCAUCCCGGCCGCUCUCCAUCAACCGGCAUUGCAGCAGCUCCCGAGCCACCGUGAGCGCGGCCCUCAUGUUUGCUUGUUCCCGUCGGGUGUGCGGCGCCGUGGCCGCGGCGUGGCUUGAGACCCUUGCGGCUGCUCGUGCUUCUCGUGGAGUAAGGGCGGACAGCGCGUGACCGCGUCGCCCACGCCCCGUGGCGUUUGGCAGUGCGCGCGAUGCCUGGGGCGCGGGGUUGAGGUCUUCUUGGGCAGACAGCACCGCCCGGGCCGGCCAAGCUGCCCAGCGGUCGGCGUUGGUCCUCGGGUCGCCGGACAUCGGAGGCGCGGAGUGUCGGCGGAUCAACUGGCAGAAGGAAAGCUCCAGCGCACCCCUACCUGGCGCGCCAAAUGUCGGAUUCCGGGUUCCAGCAAAACCCUUGAGGUUCGAACACUGGGGUGCGCGCGAAGAUUUCCCCUACCAAAUCAUGCCCUCAGGCUCACCGUGAUCUCAAGGCCUAGCUCGACGAACUCGCAACACAAGGGACACGAGAUUUAUACUGGUUCGGGCCAUCGUUGUGGUGUAAUACCCUACUCCAGUGUGGUGUGGUGGAUUGCCUCUUGGGCUGAGGAUGAACAGUACAAGGGGGAAGAACAGCCUCCUAUGGAGAGGUGUUCUUGUGCUUGGUGGGUGUGAGGAUGAUCUGAAUCCGUUGCCUCCUACUAUGGUGGCUAGUCCUAUUUAUAGAGGCCCUGGUCCUCUCCCCAAAUAUUGAGCGGGGAGGGAGCCAACAACGGCCAAUUUGAAUGGGGACAACUAGUACAAGCUAUCCUGACUAAAGGUGGUCUUUGCCUGCCAAAGGCUCUGGUGGUGACGCCGUCUUGGGCACCAUGGUGACCUCCAUUCUGCCAUCCUGCUGGUCUUGGUCUCAUUGCACCAAUAUGGAAACAUUUGCCUGAUGCCUCGGUACUCCUCGCCUGCGCUUGCCUCCUUAGCACCAAAGAGGAAACAAGGACACUGUGCGCGCUGCUGCCCGCCUGGUCUUGGUCGUCAUGGCUGACGUCGUAGGAACCUCGCGAGGUUCGCCUUGCCUUGAUCUCUCCGCCCCUCAUGAGCUAUCCUGGUGAGGCCGCUCCCGAGGAGGUCUUUGGUCGUCCGCCUCGCGAGGGUCCUGAGCGUUUGCUGGCGAAGAUGGGCCGUACUGGGCCGCGAGUGGAGCCACGCUACGGGCCGCAGGCAGGCAAGUCUGGGGACCCCUGUUCCCAGAACACCGACAAUCACGGACAUAACAAGGAGUCUCUAAAUGGUCAAGAGGUAAAGAUCGAUAUAUUGGAAGGCUAUAUUUGGACAUCAGAAAGGUUCCGAGUGAUUCGGGUAUUUUUUGGAGUACCGGAGAGUUACGGGAAUUUGCUCGGAGAAGUAAUGGGCCUUAUUGGGCUUUAGUGGAGAGAGGGGAGAAGGGCCAAGAGGUGGCGCGCGCCUCCCCCCUGCCCAAACCAAAUUGGACAAGGGGUGGGGGCGCAGCCCCCCUUUCCUUCUCCCUCUCCCUCUCUUUCCUUCUCUCUUACUCCGAAUAGGAAAGAGGAGGGGAAUCCUACUUGGACUGGGGAGUCCUAGUAGGAUUCCCCACACCUUGGCGUGCCCCCUCUAGGGCCGGCCUCCUCUUCCUCCCUCCUUUAUAUACGUGGGCAAGGGGCACCCCAAAGGCACUCCAAGAUUUGUCUUAGCCGUGUGCGGUGCCCCCCUCCACAGUUACACACCUCGGUCAUAUCGUCGUAGUGCUUAGGCGAAGCCCUGCGCCGGUAACUUCAUCAUCAUCGUCGCCACGCCGUCGUGCUGACGGAACUCUCCCUCGGCCUCAACUAGAUCAAGAGUAUGAGGGACGUCAUCGAGCUGAACGUGUGCUGAACACGGAGGUGCCGUACGUUCGGUGCUAGGAUCGGUCGGAUCAUGAAGACGUACGACUACAUCAACCGCAUUGAUAUAACGCUUCCGCUUUCGGUCUACGAGGGUACGUGGACAACACUCUCCCCUCUCGUUGCUAUGCAUCACCUAGAUGGAUCUUGCGUGUGCGUAGUUUUUUUUUGAAAUUACUAUGUUCCCCAACACUCGUCACACCCCACUAGCCCAUUGCUGUCAACACCGAUGCAGGCUCCCACCAGGACAGGUGGGGGAGGUGCCUCGGCGAAGGCGGCCGCUUGCAUUGGCAGGGCUUCUUCCUCUGAGGUUCAGUGCCGAGAGACUGUCUUGCCGCAUAGUCUGCGCGAACAGAGCACACGGUCGACUGUGAGGGUGCAACCCGCGGUUUCGCUUGUGGUGGAUACAGUUGGGCACCUAGCAGGAGGCCACGCCCCAACUGGCUCUAUGUGUUGGGUAUAGUUGGGCAUGAGGCAGGCGCCCAUGGACCAACUAGGCCUACUACUGACGACAUCAUCGCCUUUGGAGGGAUUCCGGACCCCAUGUCCGAGGACAGACGAGUGAGCCUACGAAUUCAGGCUCAACCAGAUGUUGACGACCUACAGUUGGGGCGUGCCAUGAGGGCGGCCAAGCUUUGUGACAUCGAGGCCAUUUCAGGUAUGGCAGUUAAUACAAGUUGCUCAAUUUUGCAUUUUUUUAUGAUGAGAUUAUUCAUAAUGCCAGUAAAUUGGGUGUUUCCUUGGGUAAUAAUGGGAAAAGGCGCUAAAUCGGUUAAUGACUUGCUAGACUUAGAGGCUGAGAGGGCCAUGGAGAUGCUUCGCAAUAUAGCAGCAGUAAAACCUAUGAAUGAUUUGGACAUUAACGCGCUAGGGGUUAGGGCACUUGAUUGCCUUUGCGAGGAUCUAGUGCCCUCCUCUAUGUAUAGGAAGAGGAUGUGGAUACGGUUUCUGAGGGGUAUAUGGCCCCUUUGCAGCCAGAUUUGAACGUGCAAACUAAUCUCGGUUAUAUGAGCCGAGCAGCUGGACAGGAUAAGCCAAAACGUACCUGGAAGUGAAAGGUAUAUCCUACAUCCGCUGUGCGUAGAAGUGUGAGAAUUCGGACCGCAACAAAAUUUCAUGAUGAAAGAUGAAAGGAAUCUUUUGGAAUAGCAGAGGUCUGGCAGACUUGGCUAAAAGAAGGUUCCUUGCGGGAGCAUCAUUAGAACAUAAGUUGGACUUUAUUGCGUUACUUGAGACAGGUAGGGAUAAUUUCACAUUUUAGGCACUUUAUCUGGUGGUAUUGACUUUGAUUGGCAUUGUCUUCCUCCAAGAGGAAGAUAUGGUGGGAUCUUACUUGGGGUCAAGUGUGAGGCGCUAGAAGUCCGAAAUGUAGUGCUAGGGGACUUUGUCGUCAAAUUUAGGGUGCGCUCGAAGGUUGACAUGUUCCAAUGGGCGCUAGUUGCUGUAUAUGGAGCUGCUCAACCGGAGCUCAAACCGGACUUCCUAGCAGAUCUUGUGUGGAUUUUGCGGGCAUGAGAGACUACCUAAACUGGUCAGAGGGGAUCUUAACAUUAUUAGGAGGAGAGACGAAAAGAAUAAUGAUAAUUUUGAUGGAAGAUGAUCAUUUAUGUUUAACACGAUUAUCAAAAGUCUAGAUCUGAGAGAGAUAGAACUCUCAGGCAUAAAGUUUACUUGGACAAACACUCUACCUCAUCCAACUUGUGAGAAGUUUGAUCGAGUGCUCACCAGUAUUGAGUGGGAAUAGAAGUUCCUUUGGUGAUAGUCCAAGCAUUACAGAGAGUAAUCUCUGAUCACACCCCGCUGCUUAUGGAUUCUGGGGAGGCGACACAUGCGGGAAACAAGAAUGACUUCUCUUUCGAACUAGUGUGGUUUGAGAGAGAAGGCUUCAUGGAUCUCAUAGCUCGGGAAUGGGCUAAGGUCACAGGAGGGAGGUCAAAUAUCAAGAGAUGGCAAAAUAACAUCAGGCACUUGAGGCAAUUCCUGAAGGGUUGGGCUAAACAUGUAAACGUAAUUUAUAAGGUGGAAAAGGACAAACUUUUACACCUUAUAAAUGAGCUUGAUCUCAAGGCCGAAUCCACCUUUUUAGAUGCGGAUGAUCGGGCAUCUAAGAUGGAGGUAGAGCAGAGGUUGCGAGAGCUUCUUAGGGAAGAAGAGAUGAAAUGGACACCUAGAGCUAAAGUCCAAAAGAUCGUCCAAGCGGACGACAAUACCCAGUUUUUUCAUAUGAUCGCAAAUGAAAAACACAAUAAGAAGAAGAUCUUUCGGCUUGAGAAGGAUGAGGGUCAAUUGUAAGGCAUGAGAACCUAAAAUUGUACAUAUCCAACUAUUAUAAACAACUGUUUGGGGCUCCCGAAGACAACUUUGUGUCUAUGGACGAGCUCAUUGUCGAGUAUAUUCCUCAGCUCGGGACAGACGAGAAUGAGAUUUUAUCCGCACCAUUCACAGAGAAAGAGGCGUUUGAGGCAAUAUCAUAGAUGAAAAAUAACAAGGCACCUGGCCCGGAUGACUUCCCAGCAGAAUUUUACAAGAAGUGUUGUCAUGUUAUUAAAGGCGAUCUAAUACCAAUGUUCUAUGACUUGUUUAGGGGCCAUUUGCAGCUAUUCCACCUAAACUUUGGGACGAUACCAUUGUUGCCAAAGAAGGAGGGGGCAGUACGCAUUAAGCAAUUUCGUCCAAUUUGUCUACUUAAUGUGAGCUUUAAAUUUUUUACAAAGGUUGGGACAAAUCGACUAACGCGGAUUGCACACAGUGUGGUGCAACUAACUCAGACGGCAUUCAUGUCGGGCAGAAACAUACUUGAGGGUGGGGUUGUCCUACAUGAAACACUUCACGUCAUCCACUCGAAGAAACUGGAUGAGGUGAUAUUCAACGUGGAUUUCAAGAAAGCAUAUGACAAAGUCAAACGGUCGUUCCUACAACAAGCUUUACGUAUGAAGGGAUUCGACCUUCUUUUCUACAAAAAGGCAAUGCCGGGAUUAAAGUGAAUGAUGAGAUAUGUCACUAUUUCCAUACGCACAAGGGUCUAAUACAAGGGGACCCGAUGUCUCCUAUCUUGUUCAACAUAGUAGCCGAUAUGUUGGCAAUUAUGAUAGGAAGAGCAAAAGAGGAAGGCCAAGUAGGAGGACUAGUACCACAUCUAGUAGAUGGUGGGGUGUCCAUACUACAAUAUGAUGACAAUACCAUUAUUUUCAUGGAGUAUGAUUUGGCAAAGGCCAGAAAUAUGAACCUUCUGCUACACUUAUUCAAACAUUUGUCGGGAUUGAAGAUUCAUUUUGACAAAAGCGAAUUGUUUUGUUUUGAGAGAGCCAAAGAUGAACAAGAUGCUUAUAAACAACUGUUCGGAUGUGAACUGGGUACCCAACCAUUUAGUUAUCUAGGCAUACCAAUUCACCAUUGCAAGCUAUCUAACAAGGAGUGGAAGUGUAUUGAAGAUCGAUUUGAAAAGAAACUAAGCUGCUGGAAGGGCAAGCUUAUGUCAUACGGAGGUUGGCUAAUACUAAUAAACUCAGUGCUCACGAGUAUGCCGAUAUUCCUCUUGUCCUUUGAGGUACCUGUCGAGGUAAAAAAAAGAUUGGACUUCUAUCGAUCAUAAUUCUUUUGGCACAGUGAUGAAAUAAAGAGGAAAUAUAGGCUUGGUAAAUGGGACAUCAUUUUUAGGCUGAAGGACCAGGGUGGUCUUGGGAUUGAGAAUUUAGAGGUAAAGAACAUAUGUCUGCUCAGUAAAUGGCUGUACAGGCUUUUUGUGGAGACCGAAGGCACGUGGGUACAAAUUUUACGUAAUAAGUACUGACAAUCUAAGACCUUGGCCCAGGUUACCGUCAGACCCGAUGAUUCACCAUUUUGGAAGGGCCUCCUGAGAACGAAAACAACUUUCCUCCAUAGAACUAAAUUCAUCAUUGGAAACGGUAAUUCAACGUGAUUCUGGGAGGAUACGUGGUUAGGGGAGACGCCUUUGGCCAUGCAGUAUCCAUCUCUAUAUAACAUUUUGCAGCGUAAGGGGGAUUAUGUUGCUACAGUGUUACAGUUCAAUCAUCUAAAUAUUCAAUUCAGGAUAUCGUUGGUAGGAGACCGAUGGGAAGCAUGGCUACACCUGGGCAGAAGAUUGAUGGAUGUCAACCUCUCUGAUGAGUCUGAUUGUAUUCACUGGAAAUUAACUACGACUUGCCUUUUUUCAGUGAAAUCAAUGUAUUUGGACCUAAUUGAUUAUGGUCUGAUUCCGAAAUCAAAUCAUAUUUGGAAGAUCAAGGCCCCGUUAAGGAUCAAAGUCUUUAUGUGUUUUGUUCAUAAGGAGGUGGUUCUAACUAAGGAUAACUUGGCAAAACGUAAUUGGGAGGGUCGUCAAAGAUGUUGCUUUUGUGAUCAAGAUGAAACUAUCAAACACCUCUUUCUCGAUUGUCCGCUGGCCAAACUUUAUGGCGUUCAGUUCAUAUAGCCUUUAAUAUAACACCUCCAAAUAGUAUUCACACGUUAUUUGGGACGUGGCUAAAUAGAGCGGAGACCAAUAUUGCGAGGCAUAUUGGAAUAGGAGUAUAUUCAUUACUUUGAGCUAUAUGGAACUGCAGAAAUGAUAUGGUUUUUAGCAGACAAACUUGUAUAACUUUUUUGCAGGUUAUCUACAGGACCACUGCUUGGAUCCGUAUGUGGUUGUUACUCACUCCUGUGGAGGCUAGUGAGCCUUUGGUUACCGGGUCUACCCGAUGGAGAUGGUAGCUCGGGAUAUCUACAACCGGUUUGAAUGGCGGUCCAAUAAUAGGAUAUGUGUUUAGUCAUCUCAUUCUAUUUUUGCCGGUUGUGGCACUUUAUACUUUUUUAUUCAGCUCUGUGUGAUCCUGUUCUGGAUUACAGAUUUUUUGGGCACUUGGUUUAAUAAAGGGGUUGCAUGCAUCACUCUGAUGCAAAGGCCAGAGGUAUUCCUCCCCCCUCUUCCCCUUCUGCACCCCCUGUGGCGCCGGCGACUCCCUCUAGCCAGAGGGCCGGGGCGGGCAGGGAGUACGGGCAGGUGGCCCACGCACUUCCCUCCCCCGGAGCGUCGGUGCCCCAGGGCCACGGUUCGAGGCCGACGUAGGUGGGGCCGUGGAGAUCCCCGCCGCUGCCCUCGGCAGCUCCUACCGACUCUUUGAGGGGUGCAGCUCCGCGGUGUGCUAGGGGUGAGGCCGGAGGCCUUACUCCGAGCGGGGUCACUCGGGAGGAGGUCAUGGCCUUUGGAGGGAUUCUGGAUCCGGUCUUUGCGGGGCGACGGAUGAGUUGCCGUCUCCAGGAUCAUCCGGAGGUUGAUGACAUGCAGCAGCAGUGCGCCAUGAGGGCGGCCAAGCUUCGUGACAUUGAGGUCACUACUGGUAUGUCCGUCAACACUUCUAAUUCCAUUCUGCAUUUUUCUAAUAAUGAGAUUAUUAAUAAUGCAAAUCAAUUGGGAGUUUCACUAGGUACUAAUGAUAGUGAAAUUUCUAACUCCAUAAAUUAUAUCCUGGAUUUGGAAGCGGAACGCGCUUUAGAAAUGAUUCGAAACUUAGCAGCGGUUAAACCCAUGAAUGAUGCAGAUAUAGAUGCGUUGGGGGUCAGGGUGCUCGAUAAUUUUUGUGCGGAUCUUGCACCAUCCAUUCCUGAGUCAGAGGAAGAGGAUGACACUUUUGAGGUUGCCGUAGUUUGGUCCACCGAGCCCGGUUGUGAGGACCGGGUGGAGGAUCAAAACAAACCUAAACGCAAGUGGAAGCGGAAGAUUUACCCUGCUUCAGCGGUGCAUAGGAGUGCUAGGGUCUGUACUACUAAAAAAUUUCAUGAUGAAAUAUGAAAGGAAUCUUUUGGAAUAGCAGAGGUGUGAAAGACUUGGCUAAAAGAAGGUUUCUUGCAGAUGCGUCUAUCGAGCAUAGGUUGGAUUUUAUUGCUCUCUCAGAAACUGGUAGAGAUAAUUUUUCGCCCUAGUUUCUUAGUACUUUAUUGGGAGGUGUCGAUUUCAAUUGGCACUGCCUGCCUCUGAGAGGAAGAUCGGGUGGGAUCUUACUUGGAGUGAGAUGCGAUUCGCUGGAAGUCCGAAGUGUAGUGAUGAGAGAUUUUGCAGCUAAGUUUCGGGUUAGGUCGAAAGCCGACGGGUUUAAUUGGGCUCUGGUGGCGGUCUAUGGUGCCGCGCAGCCCGAACUCAAACCAGAGUUCUUGGCGGAUCUUGUUCGAAUUUGCGGCUCUGAGCAGCUCCCAGUCCUGGUUGGGGGUGAUUUCAACAUCAUCAGGAGGAGAGAGGAAAAGAACAAUGAUAAUUUUGACGGCAGGUGGUCGUUUAUGUUUAAUACCAUUAUUGAAAGCUUGGAUCUGAGAGAGAUAGAGCUUUCGGGUAGAAAAUUCACCUGGGCUAAUACUUUGCCAAAUCCGACGUUUGAGAAGCUGGAUCGAGUCCUAGUGAGCGUCGAAUGGGAACAGAAAUUUGCUUUGGUGACGGUCCAGGCACUUUCACGUGGUAUUUCUGACCACACGCCUUUAUUUGUGGACUCUGGUGAGCCAACCCACAUGGGGAACAAAAACUCCUUUUCAUUCGAGCUGGCAUGGUUUGAACGAGAAGGCUUCUUAGAUCUGAUAGCCAGGGAAUGGGCUAAGGAUGCAGGAGGUAGGACUUCGGUUGAGCGCUGGCAGAAUAAGAUAAGGCACUUGAGAAGUUUCUUGCGUGGGUGGGCUAAGCAUCUUAGUGGGAUUUAUAAGGUCGAAAAGGAAAGGCUCCUUACACUUAUUCAGUCCCUAGAUUUAAAAGCCGAGUCCACAAUUUUGCAAGCCAUGGAGCUUCAUGCUAAACUUGAGGCGGAGAUGAGAUUGGAAGAGCUUCUCCGUGAAGAGGAAUUAAAGUGGGCGCUGCGGGCUAAGGUUCGCAAAGUUAUCCAGGGGGCGCGAACAUUCAAUUCUUUCACAUGAUCGCUAAUGGCAAGCACAGAAAGAAGAGAAUCUUUCAGGUUGAACAAGAUGAAGGAACAAUUUUAGGAUAGGAAAACCUAAAAUUAUACAUAACCGAAUACUACAAGCAGUUGUUUGGGCCUCCGGAGGAUAAUUGUGUAUCCCUCGAUGAGUCUAGGAUUGAGGAUGUGCCUCAACUUGCUGCUGAUGAGAAUGAUAUUUUGGUUGCCCCUUUUUUCGAGAAAGAGGUGUUUGAAGCCAUUACACAGAUGAAAAACAAUAAGGCUCCAGGGCCGGAUGGAUUUAUGGCAGAAUUCUAUAAAAAAUGCUGGCAUAUUAUUCAGGGGGAUUUGUUACUGAUGUUCCAUGAUUUAUUCUCUGGACAGCUUCAGUUAUUUCACCUGAACUUUGGAACGAUAACCUUGCUUCCUAAGAAAACAGAGGCUGUGAGAAUUGAGCAGUUCAGGCCGAUCUGUCUUCUCAAUGUUAGUUUCAAAAUUUUCACCAAGGUUGGGACUAAUAGGCUCAGGCAGAUUGCGCAUUCUGCGGUGCAGCAUUCCCAAACUGCUUUCAUGCCGGACAAAAACAUCCUAGAAGGGGUUGUUGUCCUUCAUGAAACGCUCCACGAAAUUCACACGAAAAAACUAGAUGGAGUUGUUUUCAAGGAGGAUUUCGAGAAAGCGUACGAUAAAGUCAAAUGGCCUUUCCUUCAACAGGCCUUACGUAUGAAAGGUUUUGAUGAAGCCUGGCGACGCCAGGUAGAAUCUUUCACGCAAAAAGGGAGUGUUGGAAUUAAAGUGAAUGACGACAUAGGUCAUUAUUUCCAGACACAUAAGGGCCUGAGACAAGGGGAUCCGAUGUCUCCUAUUUUGUUCAACAUUGUAGUUGAUAUGUUGGCAAUUCUAAUAGGAAGGGCUAAGGAGGCUGGUCAGGUGGGUGGCUUGGUUGAAAGUGCGUUAUAUCGACUAGAGGGGGGUGAAUAGGCAAUUUUUAUGAAUUCGUCACUGAGGAAUUUGCGGGUGAGGAAAUUCCUUAGCGAACAACUACUUGCAGUGGAAUAAGUAGUCAGAAGUAAGCAUAACAGAACACAAACAUGGUCAUCAUGAUGAAAUGAAGACAAGCACAGAGUACAGGAAGCGUAAACAUAGGAAAACACAGGAUGAAGACAAACAGACUGAAUAAAUUGAACUGAGGAAAUUGAGAAAUUCUUCAGUCAAAGUCUUCAAACACAGAUAUGAACAAGUGCACAACACAGUUAUGAGGAAAUGAAAGAGUUGAGGAAAUAGAACCAGGAAGCUUGGUGAAGACAAUGAUUUGGUAGACUAGUUCCAACUGCUAUCUCAGUUGUACGUCUGGUUGGAGCGGCUAGGUAUUUAAACCUGAGGACACACAGUCCUCACCGUAUUCUCCUUGAGCUAGGGUCACACAGACCUCACCCAAUCACUCGUGGUAAGUCUUCAGAUGACUUCCAAACCUUCACAAACUCGGUCACUCGGCGAUCCACAAUUCCUCUUGGAUGCUCUAGACCAUGACGCCUAACUGUCUGGAAGAAGCACAGUCUUCAAAGGUAACAAGCGUCGGAUCCACGCAGGAUCAAUCUCUUCAGUGAUGCUCAAUCACUUUGGGUUUGUAGGUGUUUGGGUUUGGGUUUUCCUCACUCGAUGAUUUUCGCUCAAAGUCCUCAGAGGAUGGGAUGCUCUCAAAUGACAAGUGUCAGUUUCUCUCGGAGCAGCCAACCAGCUAGUGGUUGUAGGGGGCGGCUAUUUAUAGCCUAGGGAGCAGCCCGACAUGAUAAGACAUAAAUGCCCUUCAAUGAUAUGACCGUUAGGUGGGUAGAUAUUUUGGGACAGCUGGCGCAUAGCACAACAACGGUCGGAAUUUUGAGGCUCAAAUUCCUCAGGGCUAUCAUGUUCCUCACUGUGUAGGCAAUCCGCACUGGCGACUUCCUAACUCCUCAGUCAGGACAAAUUCCUCAGAGACCAGAAGAACUUCGUCUCUGUCACUGAAGAAUAUGACUGAACUGUAUGAGAUUUCCAAUGGCUUCACUCGAAGGGAUUGGUAGGUGUAGGAUUUUGAGUUGAGCAUCACAUGCAAAAUUUUCCUUAGUAUUUCCUCGACCCCCUUUAACAGUACGGUGUUUCCUAUGACUCAAGAAAGAGAAAAUGAAACUACGAAAACAAAAGUCUUCACGCUCAUGUUCCUCGAAUGAUACUUAGUCUUCAAGGUCACACCAAUUUCUUCACUUUCAAAGUCUUCAGAAAGUCUUCAGAAAUCCAAAGUCUUCAGUUGAAGAACUUCAUUUUUAGUGGUCGACUUUCUCUGUAAAUAUCAAACUCCUCAUAGACUUAUAGACAUGUGUACACUCAUAAACACAUUAGUCCCUUAACCUAUAAGUCUUCAAUACACCAAAAUCACUAAGGGGCACUAGAUGCACUUACAAUCUCCCCCUUUUUGGCGAUUGAUGACAAUAUAGGUUAAGUUUUCAACGGGGAUAAUCAUAUGUAGUGUAAAUACUGAUAUUGAGGAAUUUGAUUACAAGAUAUAGAAGAACUCCCCCUGAAGAUGUGCAUAGUGAGGAAUUUGCUUUUGAAGCAAUGCACACUUGAAGAUUAGAAUCAUGGAGAUCUCCCCCUAUAUCUUGUAAUUCAUACACGCAUAUGAAGAAUUUGAAAUGCAUGAAGAAAUAUGGUGACUGAUGUAAUUCAGCAUGCGUGCAUUAACAUAUAUGAGGAAUAAGCAUGGAGAAAACACAGAAAAAGUAUUAGGCCACCAUAGAGUUUAAGUUUACAACUCGAUCCAGCAAAGUCAUCAAAAGAACGAGAGUUGUAACUUAGCAAAAAAAAACGCCCAUAUAAAUAGACCCGCUUGAAGACUAACUCAAAUUUCUCCCCCUUUGUCAUCGAAUGACCAAAAGGAUCGAAAAUGAGGACUAACGCCCCUGAAAAAUAUCAAGUUGAUGGAGGAGCGCCAGCGUUGUUGGGGUCGUUUGUUGUUGUAGGGCCUGCCGCAGUGUUGUUCAAGUGUUCAUGCUCAUCGGUUUCGCGCGAUGAAGAAUAUGAGCUGGCCACCAAGGAAGGAACCUUGACCUUCUUGUAUUUCUUCGGUGGAGGGGCAGACCAGUCAAAACCUUCUUUGAGACCCAUUUUCUUCAGAUCGUCUUCACCAUAUACAUGUGACAGAAUAGCCCAGGUGCGACCGAAGACUUCAUGGAGGUAGUAAUGGUUUUUCUUCACUGCAUUAUGUGUAGCAGUCAUGUUGUGAAGAAUAGAACCAAACUGACGCUUAACCCAUUUAUGGUUUCGAUCCAUCUUCUGGUGAAGACUAAGGAGCAGCUCACGGUCAGUCAUCACUCGUGGAGCUGUGGCUUGGGGAGUAGACUUGGGUGCAUUGGCAGCAGAAUCAUGUGUGGCAGAGUCAUCAUUGGUGGAAUAUGAUGCAGCUUUGCGAAACUGACCAUCUAAUGGACGAAUGCCUUCAUCAAUAAUAGCAGGUGCCUUACCCUUUUCAUCAGCUAAGGAAUAGGUCCGCUUGAGGACUUCGAUUGGGGGCAAGUAGCUGAGGUGAUUCUAAAAAUCAGCCUUGUAGUUGAGUGAAGACCUUGUUCUGAGGAAUCUCAUAAUCCAAGGAGCAUAAGGCUUCAACUCAAAUGGAGAGAGAGCGACAUUGGCCAGAGUCCUCAUGAAGAAAUCAUGGUAGUUGACAGGGAUGCCAGGCAUGAUGUUGAAUAGCAGAUUCUUCAUGAUGCCAACGACUUCUUCAUCAUUCGAGUCGUGGCCUUUGAUUGGACUCAUAGUCUUUGUCAGAAUGCGAUAGACUGUUCUUGGCACAUAGAGCAAUUCACUCACGAGGAAUUUUGUCCAUGGGGCUUGACCAGGUUUCAGAGGCUUCAUAAGAACUUGCAUAUAAUGGGCAGUCAGUUCAGGCUCUUGGUACAGGCAACGAGCUCCUUCAGGUGGAGGACUAAUGGGCAGGGUGUGAAGUAAUUCAGAGGCCGGUGCCUUAUAGUGAGUGUUUUCGGUCAUCCAGUCUAAAACCCAGGAGUUCACAUCGUUAGCAUCUCCUGUGAUGUGCAGUGUUGCGUAGAACUGAAGAAUGAGCUCUUCAUUCCAAUCAACUAUGUCUGUGCAAAAGUUGAGGAGGACUGCGUCAUGAAGCACACUGAGGACAGGUGAGAAGCAUGGCAGUGAUUCCAUGUCCACAUGAGGAAUGUGCUCGUGGUCGAAGACUUUGUCCUUGUUGAAGAGCAGUGAAGCAUAGAAGUUGGCCUGGCUGGCGGUCCAGAAGCGCUUCCUUCUAAGACGAGCAGAAUCAUAGGGAUUAUAGUCAGUGAAGAACACGUGCUCGCCGAAGAAGUCAUCAGCCUUGAAUUUCUGCUUCUUUGAGAAUGGAUCCUUUGGCUUGGGAUGAGGCGUGUCAGUCAAUUGCAUUAUCACCUCAGGAAUCGCAAUCUCAGGUUCCACAGGCUGAGGAAUUUCAGCUUUUUCUUCAGUGACAACCUGGGUCUUCAAUUCUUCAUUUACAUUUUCAUCAGCACUAGUGGCUGGAAUUUCUUCAUGGACAGAUGGAGUCUUACGAGGUUCUUCAGAUCCCAUUUGUACUUCAGUAGCAACAGGGGACUGAGGGAUUUGUUAGAGUGGUGUGAACAGAGGAGAGUUGGGGUGCUGACUUUCCCAAAAGUCAUCAUUCAUCACUGGAGUAGUGCUUCCAAUGUCCACAUCUUCUUCUUCCAUUUCUUCAACACCGGCCUCUUCAGUAGUGAACUGAGGCAUAGGCGAGGAGACAAUUGGUGUUGAAGAGAUUGCAUCCACUUCAAUUUCUUCAUCCAACUGCUCUGACGAAGCAGCAGAAGGACUCUCUUCAUCGGAUUCACUUGGAAUCACAUAAUCUAAAUCAAAAGGAACAAGGUCCUUUGAUGGCAUGGUUGAAAUAGGAACAUCAUCAAUUGGGUUGUCAAAUGAGCUAGUGAAUGGCUUCAUCUUCUUCGGGGCUGAAGAAUGUGAUGAAGUUGAUGCCUUCCUUUUCUUCAAUGAUGCACGCUCUGCAGCCUUGGUCUUCUUCACAUCUGAUGCAGAUGGUAGGAUCGGAGUUGGGGUAGGCGCAGGAGGAGCAGAGGAAUUUGGUUGAAUUUCUUCAGGCACAACUGAUGCAGUUGCCCUGACUUCUUCAUUUUCUUCAGGCGCACCACUAGUGGAUGCCCUGGCAAUUUCUUCAGCGGCUGGAAUGCAGUCAUCAGCCCUGGUGCUUUGAGUUUCUUCAGCAGCCUGAUUGUCAUCAGCGGUGCUGGCAUUUUCUUCAGUCGGCUGAGCAGAUGCUUCAGCCUGAGGAUUUUCUUGUUGCAUUGGGGAUGCAACAUUGGAAGUGAACUUUUCAGUCAAUUUCACAAACCUGACUUUGCCUCCAAGCCAGUCAGCUCUGUAUACGUCAAAUUCAUCACUGAGGUUCUUGAUCUCAGAUUGAAUGUUGACCAGUUCUUCAGUUGUCAUUGAGACAACGUUUUUCUUCAGGAAGCGCUCCUUUUUGUAUUGCGCUUUCUUGAUUUGCCUGGCCUUCUCAAAUUUCCAUUUUUCUUCUUGGAUGAAGGCAGUCAGCAUAUGACUUUGGCCAGGAGUCAGCUUGAAAUCAGGCAUAGGAGUGUUAGGGCCCUUGUGCCAGAGAUCGAUGUAAUCAAGGAUCAACUUAGGAUCCAAAAGCAGUGGCAUAUUUGUCCCUUGGCUCUAGCAGCCCUGAGCUGCCUGUCUCUGAUGAUUUUGGCAAGUUCAUCAUCAUCAACUUUGUCUUCAUCAGACGGCACUUGGAAGGUGACCUGCUUCUUGUGAGGACUUGGGUGAGAGCCACGUCCAGCAGUGGCCUUUGUCUUCAGCAGAGAGGGUCCCGUUGAAGAAUUUGGUGCAGCUGAGGAACUAGCAGAAGCUCCUGAGGCAAUAGAGAUGCCUGUUGUUCUUUGGCACGUGGCAAGAUGCACAGGUGCAGAGGAUUUGGUCGGACCAGCUGAGGACUUUGGCGGAGGAGCUGAGGACUUUGGAGGAGCGGGAGCAGCAUGAGGAGUUGGCCGUGAGGGCUUUGAAGAUUCUGGCCGUGAGGGCAUUGCUAAGGAACUUGGCUAUGAGGGCAUUGAGGGUGAAGCACUUGGCUUAUGAGCAGGCUUAUUUGCCAUGGCCUUCUUCGGCUUGAUUGCAGAGGCCUCAGCAGUGGCAGUAGCAGCAGAGUCUUCAUUGAAUUUCCUCACUGCUUCUUUUGCUUGUCUGGUCAAUUUGGCCUGGCGCUUGGCCCAUUCGUCAGGAUAGUCCUCACCGCGCUUGAGGCUGGUGGGAUCUGCUUCUUGGCCAGGUGCCAACGGAGGUCUUGGGCAUGGAGGAUUUAGAGCGAAUUUCUUCAUAUACUUGGGAGUAACAUACCUGUACUCCCUCCAUUCCCGUGGCCAUCUCCUCUCUAUCCUUUGGAUGCGCACCUUGCACUGAUUUUUGUCCUCUUUGCCAAACUUGGCCUCAUCAGGAGUGCAAUAGUCCUUGCAUAUGUCAUCAGGGAUCUCAAAAGUAGUGUUGACCUCAGGCCUCUUUCCUCCUUUCUGCGGCUUCUUUCCAUCAGCCAUUUUCUUUAGCUGAGGAAUUUGGACAGUUGAAUUCUCUGAAGAUGUAUGCAACUUUUCUUUGAGGAACGUUGCAAAUGAGUGAAGUUGAUGAGAACCUAGUGAUUCAGCAGCGGACAUGUGUACCUGUGAACAGAGUAUAGUUGCGAGGAAUUUGGAGAGGUCAUAUGCGUUCUCAGAAGGUUUUUCAAAAAGAACAAGCUUGAGGAAUUUGACCAGAUGAGUCUUGAAGAAUUUCACUAAGCGUUCUUUGUCUUAGGUUCCAGAGUUGUACAGAUCAGAAAUCCACACAAUUGAGGAAUCUUGAAGAAAAAUAUAGCUUAGAGAAAUGAAUCAAGAACAGAUGACAUGUGAGGUGUUUAGUGUGUGAAGAAUUUGAAGAAUAAACACUUUUGAAGAUUUUGUAGAAAUUAGUUGAAUCAAAGAGGGUAGUAAAAGUAACUUUUAAUUACCCUGGACGAAGAACGCGACGAACUAAGAGGUGUAGAUGUGAAGUUCGUCAGUUCAGAUCUUCCACGCCCUAACUCGGCUGAGGAAGACAGCUACGGCGGCGGCGGAGUGAAGAAAUCUGCAGCCGGCCCGAGUACGACGGCGACGAGGUCGAGGCAGUGAAGCUCUUCCUCACCGGCGACGAUGAAGUAGCGGCGGCGCUAGGGUUUGAGAAUCUCGAGAUGGCGUGAGGUCGAGCGGAGUAAAAGAGAAGUGAGGAAGGGGAGGGGUAUUUAUAGCCACGGUGAAAAAUUGUUCGCCCGAACAAAUUGGACGAACGUGCCCCUUACCCUUCUCAUUCCCUUCACAUGUGUCACCCACGUACUGAGAAGUGGAGACCGUGUGAGAUCGUGGGUGAAUAGAUAAGUGUUUCGUGGAAUGCGGAACGGUUUAAGCGGCAAAGCCGAAAAUUUAGUUAAGAUAAGUUAAAAGUUCCGUUCGCAAAUUCUUCAGCUGACAAGGACACAGUGAAGAUUUUGAACGAGUUUCAAAUAGAACGCACAUGAAGAAUUUGUGAAUAGAUUGGGUUGAGUUUAGCAUAGAGGGGGAAGGGUCCGAUCACAUUCACUUAGCAGGAAAAAGCAACAUGAAGAAUUACAAUAAGUGAAUGUUGUAGAGGACAUAAACUCAUAUAUAUGUAUAACCAAUGAAGAAAAACGAUGGAAACAGUGAAGACAAUGCAAAGUUGAAGAACAUGAACAACUGAGGAAUUUCAAAACUGAGGAAAAACUCAAAUUGAAGAUUUUCAACUUUUGGUGGUGGCGUGACCCACCGUAUAAGAAUGAUGAUUUCAGACACCGCGUACAAUUGUCGUAGGGCUCUGAGAAUCAAAUUCUUCAUUAAUUUCUUCACACUUAGAUUGUUAGUCUUCAUUGAUUGAAGAAAAACUUUUCUUCAUGUGUUGCACAUCUAAGUCAUCAAUUUUGCAUAAGUGUUAGGAUGAGUGUCCGUUUCAGAGAACAUUCGAAGAUUCUAGGAUAUUUAGCUCACACCGCAACUUGCUAAAUCUCUUCUCAUCCAAAGGCUUUAUGAAGAUAUCGGCUAGCUGUUCUUCAGUCUUCACAUGCUCAAUAGAAAUGUCGCCCUUCAACACAUGAUCACGAAGAAAAUGAUGACGAAUCUGAAUGUGCUUAGUCUUCGAGUGCUGAACUAGGUUAUGAGCAAUCUUGAUGGCACUCUCAUUGUCACAGUAGAGAGGCACAUUCUUCACAUUGACGCCGUAGUCCUUGAGAGUUUGCUUCAUCCAUAGCAAUUGAGCACAACAAGAACCAGCAGCAAUGUAUUCAGCUUCAGCAGUAGACAGUGAUACGCAGUUCUGUUUCUUUGAGGACCAACAGACCAAAGAUCGUCCGAGGAAAUGGCAUGUGCCAGAGGUUGACUUGAGGUGCACACGAUCACCAGCAUAGUCAGAGUCUGAAUAUCCAAUGAGAUCAAAAGCCGAGCCCUUGGGGUACCAUAGUCCAAGUGUUGGUGUGUGAGCUAGAUAUCUGCUUCACAGCCUUAUGGUGUGAUUCCUUCGGUGUAGCUUGAAAUCGGGCACACAUGCAAACACUAAGCAUAAUAUCUGGCCUAGAUGCACAUAAAUACAAUAGAGAACCAAUCAUGGAGCGGUAUACCUUUUGAUCGAAGUCAAUACCAUUUUCAUCAGUGCAUAGAUGGCCAUUUGUGGGCAUUGGAAUUUUGACCCCUUUGCAGUCUUGCAUGCCGAAUUUCCUCAGUACAUCCUUGAGGUACUUCUCCUGAGAUAUGAAUAUGCCAUUGCGCUGUUGACGAAUUUGAAGACCUAAGAAGAAUUUCAACUCUCCCAUCAUAGACAUUUGAUAUUCUUCACUCAUCAUAUAGGCAAAUUCAUCACUGUAACGUUGGUCAGUACAGCCAAAGAUAAUAUCAUCAACAUAUAUUUGGCACACAAACAAUUCACCAUCAUAAGAUUUAGUGAAAAGAGUAGGGUCAAGUGAAUUGGGUUUGAAGCCUUUCUUCAUGAGGAAUUCCUUCAAAGUAUCAUACCACGCCCGAGGGGCCUGCUUGAGGCCAUAGAGGGCCUUAUUAAGUCUGAAGACUUUGUCAGGAUGCUUUGGAUCAUCAAAACCUGGGGGUUGAGCAACAUAUACUUCUUCCUCAAGCUUACCAUUGAGGAAUGCACUUUUCACAUCCAUUUGAUAUAAGGUGAUAUCAUGAUGGUUAGCAUAAGCAAGUAAUAUGCGAAUAGCCUCAAGUCUAGCAACAGGUGCAAAAGUUUUAUCGAAAUCAAUUCCUUCAACAUGUGUGUAGCCUUGAGCUACAAGCCGUGCCUUAUUCCUCACCACAAGGCCAUUUUCAUCUUGCUUGUUGCGGUAGAUCCACUUUGUACCAAUGAUAUUGUGCUUGCGAGGAUCUGGACGUUUGACCAGUUCCCAGAUGUUGUUGAGCUCGAACUGAUGUAAUUCUUCUUGCAUAGCUUGAAUCCACUCAGGCUCCAGAAAUGCUUCAUCUACCUUAGUGGGCUCUGUGAUAGAAACAAAAGCAAAGUGCCCACAAAAGUUAGACAAAUGGGAAGCUUUUGAGCGUGUGAGAGGACCUGGUGCUUCAAUGUCAUUGAUGAUUUUCUCAAUCUGCACUUCGUUUGCAACGCGAGGAUGAGCGGGUUGUCGUUGAGGAAUAUGGUCAGCAUUUUCUUCAGCACCAUUUCCCUCAGCGCCAUUUUCUUCAGCACCAUUUUCUUCAGGUGAUCAGCUCAACGUUCUUCACGUUCUGGACUGAAUUCUUCAGCAGAUUCUUCGGUAGGAAUGACAUCCUCAGUAGCCUUGAACUCGAUAGAUUCCUCAGGUGCUGGUUCAUCUAUCACAGAAGGUAGGUGCUCUCUUUGCGAGCCAUUAGUUUCAUCGAACCACACAUCAACAGUUUUAACAACCUUGUGGAGAGCGUUGUUGAAGACUCUGUAGGUGUGCGAGUCCUUUCCGUAACCAAGCAUGAAACCUUCAUGUGCUUUAGGUGCAAAUUUAGAGUUGUGAUGAGGAUCUCUAAUCCAACAUUUAGCACCGAAGACUUUGAAAUAACCCACAUUGGGUUUCUUGUCAGUGAGGAGUUCAUAUGCAGUCUUCUUGAAGAAUUUGUGAAGAUAUACUCUAUUGAUGAUGUGGCACGCAGUAUCAAUUGCCUUAAUCCAGAAACGACGAGGCGUCUUGUAUUCAUCAAGCAUAGUGCGAGCCAUCUCAGCAAGAGUUCUGUUCUUGCGCUCCAUGAUGCCAUUCUACUGAGGAGUAUAAGGAGCAGAUAACUCAUGAGUAAUACCAAGUUCAUCAAGAUAGUCAUCAAGACCAGAGUUCUUGAACUCAGUUCCAUUGUCACUUCUGAUGUGCUUUAUCUUCACACAAAAGUUGGUUGAAGCUCUCGAAGAAAAUCGUUUGAAGACUUGCUGCACUUCAUGUUUGUAAGUAACAAUGUGUACCCAUGUGUAACGAGAGUAAUCAUCAACAAUAACAAAGCCAUAUUGAGAUGCAUCAUUUGAAACUGCAAAAUAAUGAUUAGGACCAAAAAGAUCCAUGUGAAGCAAUUCAAAUGGUCGAGUAGUGGUCAUGAUAGUCUUCGCUGGAUGCUUGGCCUUGGUCAUCUUUCAAGCUUCACAGGCUCCGCAUAAGUGAUCCUUGAGGAAUUUGACAUUCUCAAUGCCAAUGACAUGCUUCUUCUUCGCAAGCGUGUGCAGAUUCCUCAUGCCUGCAUGACCAAGUCGUCGAUGCCAUAGCCAGCCUUCUAAAGCUUUUACAAGUAGACAUACGGCUGGUUGUGGUCCUGUAGAGAAAUCAACAAUGUACAAGUCUCCUCUCCUAAAGCCUUCGAAGACUUUGGAAUUGUCAGCUUACAUGAUCACAACACAAUGAUACUUGCCAAAGACAACAACAUAUCAAUGAGACAGACAUGAGGUUGUAUCCUAAGGACUCGACAAGCAUGGCUUUGUCCAUGUGUUGAUCCUUUGAGAUCGCAACCUUACCUAGACCCAAUACCUGACUUUUGCCUUUGUCAGCGAAGAUGAUAUGCUUUAGAUGCGAUGGAGAUAAGGGAGCAUCAAUCAAUAGAUUCUUGUCACCAGUCAUGUGAUUUGUACAUCCACUAUCGAGGACCCACUCAUUGGCUUUGGGUUGAUCAUCCUGCAGAUGAAUUAGUGCAACUUACGAACUCAUAUACUUCAUUAGUGAAGGAUAUGACAUCAAUUCAUCAGAUCAAUUUCAUCAAGCAGUAGAACAGAUAAAGCAGUAUGAGGACGUGAGAAAUGAAAGUUCAUUUCUUCAUGAUUAGCCUGCGUCCUUUCAGGCAGUUUCAGGUCUCCAACAAAUUCUUCAGAUGUUUUAGCACGUCUGGAGACCUGACCUUGCAGAAGAAAUUAGUUCUUUUUCUUCACCACCCACAUCUAAAGGGGUGGCAAAGAGUUCAUCACUUUGCGAGCUCCAUAUGAGAAAGGUGGCAUAGAAGCCAAUCCAUUUCGUUUCACAUAAGAGAAGUUAGGGUAAGCAUAUGAAUAAGCAGAGAAAUUCUUCGAGGACUUAUGAACAUAAUGGUUAGAAGAGUAAUGCUCAUAUUCAUAGCCCUUAGCUCUCCCAUGCGAAACAGAGGUGUUAGCACGAUGAUAAUCAUAUGAGGACUUUGAUCCUUUUGAGGAAUAUGAUCCACGUGAGGAAUUUGGUCCGUAUGAGGACUUGGAUCCAUAUGAAGAAUUUGGUCCAUAUGAAGAGUUUGAUCUGGGGUUCCUAUUCUUUACAGGUGGUGUCAUGAGGACAUUCACUUGAAGACUUUCAAGGCAUCUUUUGGGAACCCAGAUUUUCUUCAAAGGGGAACCGUUCCUGCAGUUAGUGCCAACAUAUCUAGCAAAUACUUCACCAUUCUGAUUUUUGAACAGUUUAUAGUUGGAGUCAAAUGACUCAUCAGAAGAAUGAGGAGAUUCACAUGUAAAGCCAGAUAGAUUAGAUGGAUCUACUGGAGGUCCCUUUGCAUCAACCCAUGAGGUUUUGGGGUACUGCCCAGGCUUCCAAUAAGUACCAUCAGCAUUGAGUUUCCUCUCAAAGGCAAUACCCUCUUUCCUAGGGUUCCUGUUCAGAAUCUGCUUUUUAAGCACAUCACAAAGAGUUUGAUGCCCUUUGAGGCUUUUGUACAUGCCUGUCAUGUACAAUUCCUUCAGGCCUGCAUCAUCAGUGAUACUAGCAAUGUCCUCAAAUGAGGAAUUAGUGAUAGCAGAGACAGUUGAAGAAUUUGUAGUAUUAGAAGCAUUUGAACAUUCAGGUGAAGAAUUAGCAGAUUCACGUUCAAUGCAUUUCAAACAUGGAGGAACAAAUUCUUCCUGAGAAGCGCUGAUUUGUUGAGCAAGUAAUGAAUAGCGCUCCUUCUGAAGAUCUUCAUAACUCACUCUUAGCUUUUCAAGAUCUUGCUUUCUUUGAAGAAAUUCAUAAGAAAGCUUCUCAUGAUCAGAUAAGAGAGUGUUAUGAUGACCUUGAAGGGUGUCAAACCUAGUCUGAAUUCUCUGAAGACUCUCAGCCAAAGCUUUCGACUGAUCCAUUUCUUCACCCAACAUAUCAUCGCUCUUAUUUAACAUGUAUUGAACUUUUUCAAAAGCUCUUUGUUGUUUAGUGGCAAGGGAAGCAAGUUUGACAUCGUUGGGUCCAAAUUCAUCACCAGAUUCAUCAUCACUGGAUUCAGAUAGAUAGCAUUCAGUUACCUUUGCAUCUUUUGCCAUAAGGCAUGGUGUAGAAGAUGAUGAUUCUGGUUGGAAUGUCAUUGCUUUGAGAGAUUCCUUGAAGUCCUCAAACCAAGGAUCGUCCCAGAUAAGCUUCGCAUGAUCGAGAUGCAUGAUGUUCCUAAACUGAUUUUGAGACAGACAGGAGCAGAUGACGUCCUUCGCUGUGAGGUUGAGAAGGGUGAACUUGCGAAUGUCAUCAGCUUCUGCCAUCUUGCACAGAUCGGUAAGACCAAUCUCAGUGACGGUCCACAACUCACUGUUCAUCACCAUGAGACGCUUCUUCAUCAUGGCCUUCCACUUGGGAUACUCGUGACCGUCAAAGAUGGGGCAUGACACGGUCUUCAUUCUUGUGGUCGACAUAACUAAAACUCCAGGCGGUUAAACCAAAAUCACACAGAACAAGGGAGUACCUCGCUCUGAUACCAAUUGAAAGUGCGUUAUAUCGACUAGAGGGGGGUGAAUAGGCGAUUUUUAUGAAUUCUUCACUGAGGAAUUUGCGGGUGAGGAAAUUCCUUAGCGAAGAACUACUUGCAGCGGAAUAAGUACUCAGAAGUAAGAAUAACAGAACACAAACAUGGUCAUCAUGAUGAAAUGAAGACAAGCACAGAGUACAGGAAGCGUAAACACAGGAUGAAGACAAAUAGACUGAAUAAAUUGAACUGACGAAAUUGAGAAAGUCUUCGGUCAAAGUCUUCAAACACAGAUAUGAACAAGUGCACAACACAGUUAUGAGGAAAUGAAAGAGUUGAGGAAAUAGAACCAGGAAGCUUGGUGAAGACAAUGAUUUGGUAGACCAGUUCCAAUUGUUGUCUCAGUUGUACGUCUGGUUGGAGCGGCUAGGUAUUUAAACCUGAGGACACACAGUCCCGGACGCAGAGUCCUGAUAACCCACGAGUAUAGGGGAUCGCAACAUUUUUUGAGGGUAGAGUAUUCAAACCAAAUUUAUUGAUUCGACACAAGGGGAGCCAAAGAAUAUUCUCAAGUAUUAGCAGUUGAGUUGUCAAUUCAACCACACCUGGAUAACUUAGUAUCUGCUGCGAAGUAUUUAGUAGCAAAGUAGUAUGGAAGUAACGGUAACGGUAGCAAAAGUAAUAUUCUUUGGGUUUUGUAGUGAUUGUAAUAGUAGCAACGGAAAAGUAAAUAAGCGAAGAACAAUAUGUGAAAAGCUCGUAGGCAUUGGAUCGGUGAUAGAGAAUUAUGCUGGAUGUGGUUAAUCAUGUAACAAUCAUAACAUAGGGUGACACAGAACUAGCUCCAAUUCAUCAAUGUAAUGUAGGCAUGUAUUCCGAAUAUAAUCAUACGUGCUUAUGGAAAAGAACUUGCAUGACAUCUUUUGUCCUACCCUCCCGUGGCAGCGGGGUCCUAUUGGAAACUAAGGGAUAUUAAGGCCUCCUUUUAAUAGAGUGCCGGACCAAAGCAUUAACACAUAGUGAAUACAUGAACUCCUCAAACUAUGGUCAUCAUCGGGAGUGGUCCCGAUUAUUGUCACUUCGGGGUUGCCGGAUCAUAACACAUAGUAGGUGACUAUAGACUUGCAAGAUAGGAUCAAGAACUCACAUAUAUUCAUGAAAACAUAAUAGGUUCAGAUCUGAAAUCAUGGCACUCGGGCCCUAGUGACAAGCAUUAAGCAUAGCAAAGUCAUAGCAACAUCAAUCUCAGAACAUAGUAGAUACUAGGGAUCAAACCUAACAAAACUAACUCGAUUACAUGAUAAAUCUCAUCCAACCCAUCACCGUCCAGCAAGCCUACGAUGGAAUUACUCACGCACGGUGGUGAGCAUCAUGAAAUUGGUGAUGGAGGAUGGUUGAUGAUGACGGAUUCUCCUCUUCGGAGCCCGGACGGACUCCAAAUCAGCCCUCCCGAGAGAGUUUAGGGCUUGGCGGUGGCUCCGUAUCGUAAAACGCGAUGAAUCUUUCUCUCUGAUUUUUUUCUCCCCGAACACGAAUAUAUGGAGUUGGAGUUGAGGUGGGUGGAGCUCCAGGGGGCCCAUGAGGCAGGGGGCGCGCCUAGGGGGGCAGGCGCGCCCCCCACCCUCGUGGACACGUGGUGGCCCCCCUGGCCUUGAUUCUUUCGCCAAUAUUUUUAAUAUGUUCCAAAAAUAAGUUCCGUGGAGUUUCAGGUCAUUCCGAGAACUUUUGUUUCUGCACAUAAAUAACACCAUGGCAAUUCUGCUGAAAACAGCGUCAGUCCGGGUUAGUUCCAUUCAAAUCAUGCAAGUUAGAGUCCAAAACAAGGGCAAAAGUGUUUGGAAAAGUAGAUACGACGGAGACGUAUCAACUCCCCCAAGCUUAAACCUUUGCUUGUCCUCAAGCAAUUCAGUUGAUAAACUGAAAGUGAUAAAGAAAAACUUUUACAAACUCUGUUUGCUCUUGUUGUUGUAAAUAUGUAAAGCCAGCAUUCAAGUUUUCAGCAAAGAUUAUGAACUAACCAUAUUCGCAAUAACACUUAGGUCUCAUGUUUACUCAUAUCAAUGGCAUAAUCAACUAGCGAGCAAUAACAAUAAAUCUCGGAUGACAACACUUUCUCAAAACAAUCAUAAUAUGAUAUAACAAGAUGGUAUCUCGCUAGCCCUUUCUGAGACCGCAAAACAUAAAUGCAGAGCACCUUUAAAGAUCAAGGACUGACUAAACAUUGUAAUUCAUGGUAAAAGAGAUCCAAUCAUAGUCAUACCCAAUAUAAAUUAAUAGUAAUGGAUGCAAAUGACAGCGGUGCUCUCCAUCUGGUGCUUUUUAAUAAGAGGGUGAUGACUCAACAUAAAAAUAAAUAGAUAGGCCCUUCGCAGAGGGAUGCGGGGAUUUGUAGAGGUGGCAGAGCUCGAUUUUGAAAUAGAGAUAAAUAAUAUUUUGAGCGGCAUACUUUCAUUGUCAACAUAACAACCAAGAGAUGGCGAUAUCUUCCAUACUACAGACAUUAUAAGCGGUUCCCAAACAGAAUGGUAAAGUUUAUACUCCCCCUCCACCAACAAGCAUCAAUCCAUGGCUUGCUCGAAACAACGAGUGCUCCAACUAGCAACAGUCCCAGGGGGAGUUUUGUUUGCAAUUAUUUUGAUUUGAUUUGCAUAAAGCAUGGGACUGGGCAUCCCGGUGACCAGCCAUUUUCUCGUGAGUGAGGAGCGGAGUCCACUCCUCUUGAGAAUAACCUGCCUAGCAUGGAAGAUACGGACAGCCCUAGUUGAUACAUGAGCUAUUCGAGCAUACAAAACAGAGUUUCAUUUGAAGGUUUAGAGUUUGGCACAUACAAAUUUACUUGGAACGGCAGGUAUGAAAGAACAUGCGGUGCCCCCAUGUUUGGUUUUGGUAAUUGAUGACAAUCUCUAUGGACUAAUGGUUGCCUUGAGUUAUAUUUGAAGGAUUUGUCCAUAGGCUUUUCUUGAAGUUCAUGUGUUGGUUUCAAGGAGUUUAUGUGGUGACCAAGGUGUUGUUAAGGAAUUAUCCAAAGAUUGGUCAUGUGAGAGUAGAGCUUAUUGCAAGCAUGUCUUGAAGAAGAAGAUUGUGUGAUCAUUCAUGUUUACCUUCAAGACAUCAUCCAAAUGAAGAGAGUUGGAAAGAGUCAAGGUUGAUCAAGACUAAGUCAAGAGUGAAUCAAGUUGAUCAACACACAAAGCGCACAAGAUGUACCGAGAGGGAUCAAGCGAUCCCAUGGUGUGGUAAGCAUUGUCGAUUAUGCUUUGUGUACUAACCCAUGAUCUUUGUGAGAGUUCUUUGUGGGGUUAGGUUGCGGUGUGCAAGUUCAAGUGAAGCAUCAUGAAGAGAUCAAAUGCUUGAAGCUUGCCGUCCAUUGUGGCGACAAUGGACUUAUGAAGAUGUUGCGGUGCGCAAGUUCAAGUGAAGCAUCAUGAAGAGAUCAAAUGCUUGAAGCUUGCCGUCCAUCGUGGUGACAAUGGACUAGUGAAGAUGUGCGGAAGAGUGGCUCACCCAUAGUGGAGUAUGGGAGAGCAAUCAACUAGUCUUCAUCGAGCCAACACAACCAAGAAAGGUGGUCCAACUUGAGGGAGUCAAGAUCGUCAUCAUCUAGCUCAAGUGGACCAUGUGCAAGGCAAAGGUUUGCUCUUGAUAGGUUUUCUAUUUUACCAGUCUCAUGAUGGUAGUUGGGAGACCGGGUUAUAGGAUCGAUUGCCGUACUAUCAAGGGGGGCUCUCGAUGAGUAGCUUGAUCGUAUCGUUCAUAGAGAGCUCAAACCAUUGCAUCCUUGCAUCAUCUUUGUUGGUUCUUGUUUGGUUCUUCUCUUUGUGAGUUUUGGAGCUUAUGGUCAUCUUGAUGACAAGCUCGAGUUCAUCGAAAACGGAGUUCACUCGCAUCUUCUAUGAUGUUUUCGAUGUUGGAGGUUAUGCCGGUUCUUCUCGGUUGGAGGUUUCACUCCUCUAUUUUUUUGGCAUACCUCCCCUGCCUCUUCUUACUAUAACCAGUCGCUGUUUUGAUGCUACUCGUCUUUCUCAAUCCAACAAGCUUGAGUUUGCUCAAUUCGGAGCUCAUAUGCAGAAGUUAUGGCAGUUUUGGCUUCCUAGCGGUAGUACCGCGGCCAGAGCGGCAGUACCGCUUAUCGCCCCAAGCGGUAGUACCGCCGUCCAAAGCGGUAGUACCGCCUAUGGCCAUAAGCGGUAGUACGGCUACGGUUCCGUGCUGGUACCGCCUCGAUUUUGGGUCUUGCAUUUUUCGUGUCGAGUUUUGCAGUACUUGCACGGCAAUAAGGCGCGGCAGUUCCACCUAUAAGCGGUAGUACCUCCCUGAUGGGCGGUAGUACCGCUCCGGUCGGGCGGUAGUACCGCUACUGUUUUUUUUGGUCCCGUGUUCUGCUCCUCCAGCGGUAGUACCACUGGGGUGCGCGGUAGUACCGCUUAUAAGCGGUACUACCGCCCCAAGGUUCAUGUUUGGUUGCUCCUUUUUCCCUGCUUCUUCCGCCAGAGCGGUAGUACCGCUCGUGGAGCGGUAGUACCGCUCGUGUGCGGGCUGAGCACAUAACGGUUGGAUUUUUCCCCUUCUAUAAAAGGGGGUCUUCUUCCCCAAUGAACCUUAUCCUUUGAGCUCGUGUUCUUCCCCCAUUGUUGUCCUUCUUCGAGCUUGCUAACUCUCAAUCCCUCCAUGGAUCCUUGCUAGUUUUUGAGGGAAAAGAGAGAGGAGAUCUAGAUCCACAUUUCCACCAAUCACUUUCUCCUCUAUGUGAGGGGAACCCCUUGGAUCUAGAUCUUGGAGUUCUUGGUGUUCUCCUUCUUGUUCUUCCUCUCAUUUUCUUCCCUAGCAUUAGUUGCUUCGGUGGGAUUUGAGAGAGAAGGACUUGGGCACUCCGUCUGCCCUUGCCAUUGCAUUUGGUGCAUCGGUUUGAGUUCUCCACGGUGAUACAUGGAAGUUACAAGUUGAGAAGCUUAUUACUCUUGGGUGCUUGGUGCCCUUGAGCUUGUUCCUCUUGGGUGCUUGGGCACCCUAGACGGUUGGUGGUGUUCGGAGCUCAAUCAUUGUGGUGUAAAGCUCCGGGCAAGCGUCGGGGUCUCCAAUUAGGUUGUGGAGAUCGCCCCGAGCAAUUUCACGGGUGCCGGUGACCGCCCCCAAGGGUUGCCAAAGUGUACGGGUUCGGUGACCGCCCCCAAGGGUUGCCAUUUGUACGGGUUCGGUGACCGCCCUCAAGGGUCCCUUAGUGGAAUCACGGCAUCUUGCAUUGUGCGAGGGCGUGAGGAGAUUAGGGUGGCCCUAGUGGCUUCUUGGGGAGCAUUGUGCCUCCACACCGCUCCAAACGGAGAUUAGCAUCCGCAAGGGUGUGAACUUCGGGAUACAUCAUCGUCUCCACGUGCCUCGGUUAUCUCUUAACCGAACCCUUUACUUACGCACUUUACUUUGUGAUAGCCAUAUUGUUUCUUGUCAUAUAUCUUGCUAUCACUUAGUUGUUUAUCUUGCUUAGCAUAAGUUGUUGGUGCUCAUAGGUGAGCCUAGUUGUUGUAGGUUUUGUGCUUGUCAAAUUAACCGCUAGGUUUAUUCCGCAUUUGUUCAAGCCUAAACCGUAAUUAUUUUAAAGCGCCUAUUCACCCCCCCUCUAGGCGACAUCCACGAUCUUUCAAGGUAGAUACCGCAUAUUGGAAGGUAUGGUGGACUCAUAUGGAAUAACUUUGGGGUUUAAGGGAUUGGAUGCACAAGCAGUAUUCCCGCUUAGUACAAGUGAAGGCUAGCAAAAGACUGGGAAGCGACCAACUAGAGAGCGACACUAGUCAUGAACAUGCAUUAAAAUUAAUAAACAUCGAGUGCAAGCAUGAGUAGGAUAUAAUCAACCAUGAACAUAAAUAUCAUGAAGGCUAUGUUGAUUUGUUUCAACUACAUGUGUGAACAUGUGCCAAGUCAAGCCACUUGAAUCAUUCAAAGGAGGAUACCACCCCACUAUACCACAUCACAACCAUUUUAAUAGCAUGUUGGCACACAAGGUAAACCAUUAUAACUCAUAGCCAAUUAAGCAUGGCACGAGCAACUAUAAUCUCUAAUUGUCAUUGCAGACAUGUUUAUUCAUAAUAUGUUGAAUCAGGAACGAUGAACUAAUCAUAUUUACAAAAACAAGAGAGGUCGAGUUCAUACCAGCUUCUCUCAUCUCGUCAGUCCAUCAUAUAUCGUCAUAAUUGCCUUUCACUUGCACGACCAAACAAUGUGAAUAAUAAUAAUAGUGCACGUGCAUUGGACUAAGCUGGAAUCUGCGAGCAUUCAAUAAACAGGAGAAGACAAGGCAAUAUGGGCUCUUGGUUAAAUCAACAAUAAUGCAUAUAAGAGCCACUUCAACAUUUUCAUCAUGGUCUUCUCCUAUCGACCCCCAAAGAAAAGAAAUAAAACUAUUUACACGGGAAAGCUCCCAACAAGCAAAACAAGAACGGGAAAUAUUUUUGGGUUUUCUUUUAAUUAUUACUACAGCAAGAAAAGUAAACUAACUAAAAGCUACAACUAAUUUUUUUGGUUUUUCUUAAGGUUUAUUAAACACACAAGAAGAAAGCGUAAAAAUAAAAUAAACUAGCAUGGAUAUUACAGUGACAAAGUAUGAGCAUCGACAUCUAGCAAUGAGUGUGUGGACAUAAAUGUAAUGUCGGUGGGAAAUACGUACUCCCCCAAGCUUAGGCUUUUGGCCUAAGUUGGUUUAUUGCCACGGAUGGCCUGGCAGAUAUCCAAAGUUGUAACCGGGGUCGUACUGAGAUGCAGCGGCUAUUGCCUCCUGAGCUGCAGCGUGGCGGCGAGCUGCCUCCGCCCUCCUCUCGUACUCAUCUGCCUCCUCUCUGGUAAUAACAUAUCUUGUUUUGCCUGAUAAUCAAAGAAGGCAGGAGCAGGGAGAGUAAUAUGGACAGCGCGACGUCUGUCAAAGAUUAAGCGAUACUGGAGGGACUGCUCAUUCCUCUCAAGAAAACAAUGAUGAACCAUGGCAUUAUAAUCUAAAUAAACAUCAGGCAGCUCAACAUCAUACUCACGUAUAGGUACCUCAAGAAAAUUAGCUAGACGGGUUGCAUAAAUUCCUUCAAAGAAAUCUCCAUUAAAUCUAUUAUGAUGCAACCUACGUGCAACAAUGGCUCCCAAAUUAUAAGAUUUAUCUCCUAACACAGCACUCCUAAGAAUACUGAGGUUAGGGACACACAUGUGACAUGCUUCAUCCUUACCAUUUAUGCACCUACCUAUGAAGAGAGCAAAAUAAUGUAUAGCAGGAAAAUGAAUGCUCCCUAUGGUAGCUUGUGCUAUAUCUCUAGAUUCCCCCACAGUUAUACUAGCAAGAAAAUCUCUAAAUUCAGAUUUGUGAGGUUCACUAGUACUACCCCAUUGUGGGAGUUUGCAAGCAGUAGUAAAAUCCUCUAAGUCCAUAGUAUAAGAAUUUUCAUAGAGAUCAAAAAGGAAAGUUUGAGAAUUGCGUGAAGAUGAAAAUUCAAACCUCCUCACAAAGGAACUAGUGAGAUAGUGGUACUGACGGCAUUUUUCUGCCUCGAAGCUCACAAGAUCGACGUUACGCAAAUAUGCGUUAAAUUCUUCCUUAAUUCCUGCUCGAUCCAUGAAGUCUUCUGAAGGCCAUUCACAAGGCCGCACUGGAGCGUCCCUUGGUGGUUCAUCGUCAGCAUCACGCAUUGCAAGCCUGGGUCCUUGCUUCCUUGAAGAACCACCUUGGUACAUUUUCCUAAACAUAUUUCUUCCUCUGAAAAAUUUCUGAAAUUUUUAGUAACUUCGAAUAAAAGUGAACCAAGCUCAACAAAAUUAAUAGUAACUACUCCUACAAGUGCCUAGAGACUAUAUCAUGCAUUAGAAUUACUUGGAACCAUAUAAAUUUGACAUGCAAGCUCAAGAACAUGGUCACCUAGGCAGCACAAAUUUGCAAUGAAUAAAGCACUAGAACAAAAACUAAUUGGACCAUUGGAGGAGUCACAUACAAGGAACAAUCCCCCAAAGCAGUUUUGUGAGAGGUGCUUUGAGCAAGGAGAUCGAAAAUCGCAGCAAAAUGAGCUAGAACUCGUGCUUGAGCUGGAUGGUGAUUUUUUUGGGAGGAAGAAGAAGUGUGUGGGUGCAGGAAUAAGUGGAGGGGAGCCAUCGUGGGCCCACGAGGCAGGGGGGCGCGCCCUGUAGGGGUGGGCGCGCCCUGGACCCUCGUGGCCAGGUGCUUGCUCCCCCUGCUGCGUUCUCAGUGCUAGAUAUUCUCAAAUAUUCCAGAAAAAUUCAUAUUAAAUUGGCAGGGCAUUUGGAGAACUUUUAUUCUCGAGGUAUUUUUAUAUUGCACGGAUAAUUCAGAAAACAGACAGAAAAUACUAUUUUUACUUUAUUUCAACUAAAUAACAGAAAUUAGGGACAGGGUAAUGAAGGUUGUGUUUUCUAAUUUCAUCCAUCUCGUUCUCAUCAAAAGGAAUCCACUAACAAGGUUGAUCAAGUCUUGUUAACGAACUCAUUCCGAAUAACAUGGAACCGGAGAAAUUUCGAAUAACACUAUGUUACCUCAACGGGGAUAUGCACAUCCCCAAUAAUAAGAAUAUCAUAUUUAUUCUUGACAGUAGGAAUAGGAAAUUCAAAACCUCCAAAAAUAAUUGAUGGAAUUUUUCCAAUAGAGUUGAUACUAUGAACUUGAGGUUGUUUCCUCGGAAAGUGUACCGUAUGCUCAUUACCAUUAACAUGAAAAGUGACAUUGCCUUUGUUGCAAUCAAUAACAGCCCCUGCAGUAUUCAAAAAGGGUCUUCCAAGAAUAAUAGACAUACUAUCGUCCUCGGGAAUAUCAAGAAUAACAAAGUUCGUUAAAAUAGUAACGUUUGCAACCACAACAGGCACAUCCUCGCAAAUACCGACAGGUAUAGCAGUUGAUUUAUUAGCCAUUUGCAAAGAUAUUUCAGUAGGUGUCAACUUAUUCAAAUCAAGUCUACGAUAUAAAGAGAGAGGCAUAACACUAACACCGGCUCCAAGAUCACAUAAAGCGGUUUUAACAUAGUUUCUUUUAAUGGAGCAUGGUAUAGUAGGUACUCAUGGAUCUCCAAGUUUCUUAGGUAUUUCACCCUUAAAAGUAUAAUUAGCAAGCAUGGUGGAAAUUUCAGCUUCCGGUAUCUUUCUUUUAUUUGUAACAAUAUCUUUCAUUGCAUAAGGAUUCAUUUUGAGCAUAUCAGUUAAUCGCAUACGCAAAAAGAUAGGUCUAAUCAUUUCAGCAAAGCGCUCAAAAUCCUCAUCAUCCUUUUUCUUGGAUGGUUUGGGAGGAAAAGGCAUGGGUUUUUGAACCCAUGGCUCCCUUUCUUUACCGUGAUUCCUAGCAACAAAAUCUCUCUUAUCAUAACGUUGAUUCUUUGAUUGUGGGUUAUCAAGAUCAACAGCAGGUUCAAUUUCUACAUCAUUAUCAUUGCUAGGUUGAGCAUCAUCAUGAACAUCAUCAUUAACAUUAUCGCUAGGUUCAUGUUCAUUACCAAAUUGUGUUUCAGCAUCAGAAAUAUCAUUUGGAUUCUCAGGUGUUUCAGCAACAAGUUCACUAGAAGCAUGCAAAGUCCUAUCAUUUUUCUUUUUCUUCUUUUUAGAAGGACUAGGUGCAUCAAUAUUAUUUCUCUGAGAAUCUUGCUCAAUUCUCUUAGGAUGGCCUUUAGGAUACAAAGGUUCCUGAGUCAUUUUACCAGUUCUAGUAGCCACUCUAACAGCAUAAUCAUUGUUCUUACUAUUUAAUUCAUUGAGCAAAUCAUUCUGAGCUUUAAGUACUUGUUCUACUUGAGUGGUAACCAUAGAAGCAUGUUUACUAAUGAUCUUAAGUUCACCUUUAACUCUAGACAUAUAAUCACCCAAGUGUUCAAUCAUAUAAGCAUUUUGUUUUAAUUGUCUACCAAUAUAAGAAUUGAAGUUUUCUUGUUUAACAAUAAAAUUGUCAAACUCAUUUAAGCAUUGUCUAGCAGACUUAUAACGAGGAAUAUCACCUUCAUCAGAUCUAUAGAGAGAAUUUACCUUUACUACCUGUGUCGGGUUAUCAAGACCAUGAGUUUCUUCAAUAGGUAAUGGAUUAAGAUCAUAUAUUUCUUCAACAGGCGGUAAAUUAAGGCCAUGUAUUUCUUCAAUAGGAGGUAAAUUCUUAACAUCUUCAGCUUUAAUACCUUUUUCCUUCAUAGAUUUCUUUGCCUCUUGCAUAUCUUCAGGACUGAGAAAUAGAACACCCCUCUUCUUCGGAGUUGGCUUAGGAAUAGGCUCGGGAAUUGGCUCAGGAGCUGGCUUAGGAGCUGGCUCAGGAAGUAUCCAAUUAUUUUCAUUGGUCAACAUAUUAUUCAACAGAAAUUCAGCUUCAUCCGGUGUUCUUUCGCUGAAAACAGAACCAGCACAACUAUCCAGGUGGUCUCUGGAAGCAUCGGUUAGUCCAUUAUAAAAGAUAUCAUGUAUUUCAUUUUUCUUAAGAGGAUGAUCAGGCAAAGCAUUAAGUAAUUGGAGAAGCCUCCCCCGAGCUUGUGGGAGACUCUCUUCUUCAAUUUGCACAAAAUUAUAUAUAUCCCUUAAGGCAGCUUGUUUCUUAUGAGCAGGGAAAUCAUAUCCUGGGGACUACGCACACAACCAGGAUCAAGAGAAUUAAACCAUAUCUUAGCAUCACCCUUUAACGAGAACGGAAAUAUUUUAAGGAUAUAAAAGUAGCGAGUUCUCUCAUCAUUAGUGAAUAGGGUGGCUAUAUCAUUUAAUUUAGUAAGAUGUGCCACAACAGUUUCAGAUUAAUAGGCAUAAAAAGGAUCAGAUUCAACCAAAGUAAUUAUAUCAGGAUCAAUGGAAAAUUCAUAAUCCUUAUCAGUAACAAAGAUAGGUGAAGUAGCAUAAGCAGGAUCAUAUUUCAUUCUAGCAUUCAGAGUUUUUUGUUUAAGCUUAGCUACUAAUUUCUUAAGAUCACUUCUAUCAUUGCAAGCAAGAAAGUCUCUCUUAGUUUCUUCAUCCAUAACAUAGCCCUCAGGCACAACAGGUAAUUCAUAUUUAUUGGGAGAGCUUUCAUCAUCACUAUCAUCAAUAUUAUCAGUUUCAAUAAUUUCAUUCUCUCUAGCCCUAGCAAGUUGUUCAUCAAGAAAUUCACCAAGUGGCACAGUAGUAUCAAGCAUAGAAUUAGUUUCAUCAUAAGUAUCAUGCAUAGCAGAAGUGGCAUCAUAAUAACAUGCGACAUAUCAGAAUUAAUAGCAGAAGCAGGUUUAGGUGUCGCAAGCUUACUCAAAACAGAAGGUGAAUCAAGUGCAGAGCUAGAUGGCAGUUCCUUACCUCCCCUCGUAGUUGAGGGAUAAAUUUUUGUUUUCGCGUCUUUCAAGUUCUUCAUAGUGACCAGCAGAUAUAAAUCCCAAGUGACUCAAAGAAUAGAGCUAUGCUCCCCGGCAACGGCGCCAGAAAAUAGUCUUGAUAACCCACAAGUAUAGGGGAUCGCAACAGUUUUAGAGGGUAGAGUAUUCAACCCAAAUUUAUUGAUUCGACACAAGGGGAGCCAAAGAAUAUUCUCAAGUAUUAGCAGUUGAGUUGUCAAUUCAACCACACCUGGAUAACUUAGUAUCUGCAGCAAAGUAGUAUGGAAGUAACGGUAACGGUAGCAAAAGUAAUAUUUUUUGGGUUUUGUAGUGAUUGUAAUAGUAGCAACGGAAAAGUAAAUAAGCGAAGAACAAUAUGUGAAAAGCUCGUAGGCAUUGGAUCGGUGAUGGAGAAUUAUGUCGGAUGUGGUUCAUCAUGUAACAAUCAUAACAUAGGGUGACACAGAACUAGCUCCAAUUCAUCAAUGUAAUGUAGGCAUGUAUUCCGAAUAUAGUCAUACGUGCUUAUGGAAAAGAACUUGCAUGACAUCUUUUGUCCUACCCUCCCGUGGUAGCGGGGUCCUAUUGGAAACUAAGGGAUAUUAAGGCCUCCUUUUAAUAGAGUACCGGACCAAAGCAUUAACACAUAGUGAAUACAUGAACUCCUCAAACUAUGGUCAUCAUCGGGAGUGGUCCCGAUUAUUGUCACUUCGGGGUUGCCGGAUCAUAACACAUAGUAGGUGACUAUAGACUUGCAAGAUAGAAUCAAGAACUCACAUAUAUUCAUGAAAACUUAAUAGGUUCAGAUAUGAAAUCAUGGCACUCGGGCCCUAGUGACAAGCAUUAAGCAUAGCAAAGUCAUAGCAACAUCAAUCUCAGAACAUAGUGGAUACUAGGGAUCAAACCCUAACAAAACUAACUCGAUUACAUGAUAAAUCUCAUCCAACCCAUCACCAUCCAGCAAGCCUAUGAUGGAAUUACUCACGCACGGCGGUGAGCAUCAUGAAAUUGGUGAUGGAGGAUGGUUGAUGAUGACGAUGGCGACGGAUUCCCCUCUCCGGAGCCCCGAACGGACUCCAGAUCAGCCCUCCCGAGAGAGUUUAGGGCUUGGCGGCGGCUCCGUUUCGUAAAACGCGAUGAAUCUUUCUCUCUGAUUUUUUUCUCCCCGAACACGAAUAUAUGGAGUUGGAGUUGAGGUCGGUGGAGCUCCAGGGGGCCCACGAGGCAGGGAGGCGCGCCCAGGGGGCAGGCGCGCCCCCACCCUCGUGGACAGGUGGUGGGCCCCUGGCCUUGAUUCUUUCGCCAAUAUUUUUAAUAUUGUCCAAAAAUAAGUUCUGUGGAGUUUCAGGUCAUUCCGAGAACUUUUGUUUUUGCACAUAAAUAACACCAUGGCAAUUCUGCUGAAAACAACGUCAGUCCGGGUUAGUUCCAUUCAAAUCAUGCAAGUUAGAGUCCAAAACAAGGGCAACAGUGUUUGGAAAAGUAGAUACGACGGAGAUGUAUCAAGUCCUCACCGUAUUCUCCUUGAGCUAGGGUCACACAGACCUCGCCCAAUCACUCGUGGUAAGUCUUCAGGUGACUUCCAAACCUUCACAAACUCGGUCACUCGGCGAUCCACAAUUCCUCUUGGAUGCUCUAGACCAUGACGCCUAACCGUCUGGAAGAAGCACAGUCUUCAAAGGUAACAAGCGUUGGAUCCACGCAGGAUCAAUCUCUUCAGUGAUGCUCAAUCACUUUGGGUUUGUAGGUGUUUGGGUUUGGGUUUUCCUCACUCGAUGAUUUUCGCUUAAAGUCCUCGGAGGAUGGGAUGCUCUCAAAUGACAAGUGUCAGUUUCUCUCGGAGCAGCCAACCAGCUAGUGGUUGUAGGGGGCGGCUAUUUAUAGCCUAGGGAGCAGCCCGACAUGGUAAGACAUAAAUGCCCUUCAAUGAUAUGACCAUUAGGUGGGUAGAUAUUUUGGGACAGCUGGCGCAUAGCACAACAACGGUCGGAAUUUCGAGGCUCAAAUUCCUCAGGGCUAUCAUGUUCCUCACUAUGUAGGCAAUCCGCACUCGCGAAUUCCUAACUCCUCAGUCAGAACAAUCCUCAGAGACCAGAAGAACUUCGUCUCUGUCACUGAAGAAUAUGACUGAACUGUAUGAGAUUUCCAAUGGCUUCACUCGAAGGGAUUGGUAGGUGUAGGAUUUUGAGUUGAGCAUCACAUGCAAAAUUUUCCUUAGUAUUUCCUCGACCCCCUUUAACAGUACGGUGUUUCUAUGACUCAAGAAAGAGAAAAUGAAACUACGAAAACAAAAGUCUUCACACUUCAUGUUCCUCGAAUGAUACUUAGUCUUCAAGGUCACACCAAUUUCUUCACUUUCAAGGUCUUCAGAAAGUCUUCAGAAAUCCAAAGUCUUCAGUUGAAGAACUUCAUUUUUAGGGGUCGACUUUCUCUGUAAAUAUCAAACUCCUCAUAGACUUAUAGACCUGUGUACACUCAUAAACACAUUAGUCCCUUAACCUAUAAGUCUUCAAUACACCAAAAUCACUAAGGGGCACUAGAUGCACUUACAUUGGUGCCUUAUCUAGUUGAUGGAGGUGUGUCUAUCCUACAGUACGCCGAUGAUACGAUCAUCUUUAUGGAGCAUGACUUGGCAAAAGCGAGAAAUAUGAAGUUGGUGUUAUGCUUAUUUGAACAAUUGACCGGGUUAAAGAUUAACUUUCACAAAAGCGAAUUGUUCUGUUUUGGAAGAGCCAAUAAGGAACAAGAGGCUUAUAGGCAAUUGUUUGGGUGCGAAUUGGGGACUUUACCUUUUACGUAUUUAGGUAUACCAAUUCACCAUUGUAAGCUGACAAAUAGAGAAUGGAAGUGUAUCGAGGAUCGCUUUGAGAAGAAAAUGAGUUGUUGGAAGGGCAAGCUCAUGUCAUAUGGAGGCCGAUUAAUUUUGAUUAAUUCGGUUCUCACGAGUAUGCCUAUGUUUCUCUUGUCUUUCUUCGAAGUCCCAGCUGGAGUUAGGAAAAGGCUGGACUUCUAUCGAUCCCGAUUCUUCUGGCAGAGCGAUGAACUAAAAAGAAAAUACAGACUCGCCAAAUGGAAUAUUAUUUGUCGACCGAAAGACCAAGGGGGGCCUUGGUAUUGAAAAUCUUGAAGUCAAGAACAAAUGUCUUCUUAGCAAGUGGCUGUCUAAGUUAUCUGUAGAGACUGAUGCCACAUGGGCGCAGAUUCUCCGUAGUAAGUAUCUUCACUCCAAACGUUUGUCCCAGGUGACAGCGAGGCCGACGGACUCGCCUUUUUGGAAAGGGCUUAUGAGAGUCAAAUUAGCCUUUUUCAAUAGGACAAAGUUUAUAAUCGGCAAUGGCGCUAACACGCGAUUCUGGGAGGAUACUUGGCUCGGAGAGACCCCCCUUGCGCUUCAAUACCCGUCUCUUUAUAUUAUUGUUCAACGACGUGAUGCUUUCGUUGCAACGAUACUUCAGUCCAUCCCCCUUAAUAUUCAGUUUAGGAGGACUCUAGCCGGUAAUCGUUGAGAAGCGUGGCUCCAUUUAGUGAGUAGACUGAUGGAGGUUCAGUUGUCUCAACAGCCCGAUCAAUUACGCUGGAAGCUUACUAGGUCUAGAGAGUUUACAGUUAAAUCAAUAUAUCUCGAUGUUAUCAAUUCCAGCUCCAUUCCUAGUUUCAAAUAUGUUUGGAAAGUCAAAGUUCCUUUGAAAAUUAAAGUGUUUAUGUGGUUUGUACAUAAACAAGUCAUCUUAACCAAGGACAAUUUGGCAAAGCGUAACCGGACAGGACCUACUCGGUGUAGUUUUUGUGAUCGGGAUGAAACUAUCAAACACCUUUUUCUUGACUGCCCGUUGGCCAAAGUUCUAUGGCGAACGGUGCACAUAGCCUUUAACAUUACUCCUCUGAGUUCUGUCAGCACGCUAUUUGGAACGUGGCUUAACGGGAUAGAGUCCAAAACAGCGAGACACAUUCACGUAGGAGUAUGUGCUUUAUUGUGGGCAGUCUGGAACUGCAGAAAUGAUUUGAUUUUUAACAGAACAACAAAUAUUCAGUUUUUGCAGGUUAUUUUCCGAGCCACUGCGUUAAUCCGUAUGUGGUCGCUACUCACUCUAACGGAGGCCAGGGAGCGUUUGGUUACUGGAUCUAUCCGGUGGGAGAUGGUAGCACGGGAUAUCUUCAACCGGUUUGGAUGGCGCUCAUGUAAUAGGAUAGGCAAUUAGUUUUCCUAUCUUUUUUAUGCCAGCCGGUUGUGACUUUUUGGCUAGUUUGUUAUUGGCUCUUUGGCUCUUUGUGAGCUUUCCUUUACUUUCGUUUGAGACUUUAAGACCUUGUUGCACCUAUUUGCUUAUUUAUAAAGUUGGCCGUAUGCAUCAUUCUGAUGCAGAGGCUCGAAAAAAAUAUUCCUCCCUUUUAAAAAAAAUAGCGUUGCAAAUUGUUUUAAAUAAUAAUUACAUUUUUAUGAGACUACAUAAAAAAAGGCUAGGGGUUCAUCGGCUUGAUUAUAUUGUAUGUUUUAUAAUAAACAUAAAAUAUAGCUAACUCUUGCAUCGUAUCAUUUGUCUCUCUUUGUUAGGCCUUCAAUUUGAACUUCAAAACUUUAGUGCUUGUUGUAAUAUGUUUGAGGAAUGCACGGGCCUAGUAAUAACAAUAGUUGUAAAAAAUUGGACUACAUUAUAAAUUUGGUGUCAGAUUUUGACCAUGACAAAUGGUGUAGUAUGCAGUAAGCAACCUCAAAUCCAACAAUGUCAUCAAGAGAAAAAAUGUCCAAGUCGACGCGGUCAGCGAGAUGUCACGGGGAAAAUAAUGGUGUCCUUUCAGCGCGACAGUGACGCGGGCGGGGGUACAGCGAACCACUGUGUGCGGGUCCCACUCCCGACCUCCAUGGACCGAGCUCACCCACCCCCUUCGUCCUCCUCCACAGCUUUCUCCAUCUCCUCACGUCCUCUCACUGCCUAGUAGCCUAGCUAGUCUAUCAUCGUAGCUGUAGCUCCAGGCCUCUAGCUCGCAGCGUAGAAUACGACUAGACGUACUGCGAGCUGAGCCUGAGCUACUGCCACUCUCGCGACCGCGGGCUCCUGCUCCGCUCCCCCACCCCCCCGCCCUCUCUCUCUCUCUCACUGGCCAGCCUUUAAAGCUGUCACCUUUUGCCACCCUCUCCGUGUCGCUGUACAGACUCUCUCUCUCUCUCCCCCUCUCCCUCUCGUCGCUCGUGCUGUGGUGUGCUCGUUCGAUUGCCUCAGGUCGGACGGACGGACGCGAGCUGAGGGCAGGAGGGGCCGGAUCCGGUGGUCCGGAGUGCGAGCUAGCGGCCCCGGUUGUCGCGGCGGCGGAGGAGUAGUUGGUGGAGUGCCAGAGGAAGCGGUUCAUGGACGUGGUUCCCCCUACCGCAGCCCGGCGGGGCGGCGGGAGGCUGUGAGCGGGUCACCGGCGGC